GCCCUGCUCCUUUACCCUCAUCAUCACUCACCCACAAGCAAACCUAACGCAAACACAACUGAAACCCAUAGCAGCGCCAAAUGAAAGAUGGGGAAAUAGGGAAAUAGGGCCGCGGGAGAAGGGAGGAGGAGAGGAAGGAGAUUCGCGCCGGCGUGCUGGGCUCCACCGCCGCCGUCGCGUCGUCGCUGUCACUGAAGCUUCGCGCCGCUGUCCAACCGCCGUGCCUCGCCGUCAGUUGCUGCUCAUCCUCAUCGCGAACAGAGGGAAGCGCGAGACCGAGAGGGAGAGAGAAAGCGUGGAGUUGGCGUCGCGCGGAGAGGGACUCGCCGCUCCUUCCCACCGCCGUCGAGCUGCCAUUGACGUGUGUCACCGCGGCUGAGGGUGUCGCCACCACCAAACCCCUGCCGAAGAUGCUUCCACUGCACGCGAGAGGAAGAAGAGCGAUGAGGCAGAACGCGUCCUCGCCGGAGCUCUUGAGCGCCGCCGUCGUUCGUGCCUCCUCCCGCCGCCAAAUCUGCUCCCACUUCUAGGUUCUGGAAUCUGACCCGGACGCCGCUGCCACCAUCCGAGCUCGCUGCUGCUGAUGAUGGUAAGCCCAAACCACCGCCAGCAAAAGGGGUUCAGGCCGCCGCAGGUGUCGCUGCCGGAGAAGGGAGCUGCAUCUCUGUGAUUCCGACCGCCAGGAGUGGUUUUGUGACGUUAGGGACCAUCGCCGGAGCUUCUGCCUACUGCUGCUGUCGCCGGAAAAGGUUGCCGAUGUCGUGAUCGGAAUUUGUCGCCGCAGCCGCUUGAGGUGGCUGCCGGGCUGCUGCCGAGCCGGCCCGGAGACCGUCGCUGUUUCGGUUCAACCGUUCCUCCUUCGGUUCGUUGUUGUAUGUUGCGAUUAGAGUUGUUGAGACUCUUGCGAAAGUGGCUUGGAACCGAGGUUUUGACUGCCGGUAUUUUGAUUGUUGAUUUUGGGUCGAGGCAGAAAGGAUUCUGUGACGCGUUUGGGCUAUGGUUUGCGUUUUGAGGAUAUGGGCGCAGAAGUUACGAAGAAUUUAUUUAGUUGUUGUUGAGAUGCUCUGUAUUGUUUUAGUUAUGGUCUAUUGUACCCUCGCCUUUAUCUUGAUAUAUUCUGUAAGAGGGAUAGGAACUGUAUUGGAUAAUAUUUGUAAUAUCAUUUAUGUAUAUAUAUAUAUACAUGUAUGUACGUUUUAUGAGUUGUUGUAAGUGUAUUGUAUGUAUGGAUGUACGUUGUAUAGCAAAAGUAUCUUUUGGAUCGGUAUUGCGGUUUAAAGUUUUAAACAGGCUCAUAUCUUAGUAUUAAAAAGUAUAAGUGUUGUCGUAAUGUCUUAGCUAUCAGAGUCGUGCAGUCGGAAGUGUGAGCUUUGGUAGUUAGGGUGUUACAGUUUUCUUGCUCAAAAGAAUAUUUGAUUGAUAGAUGUAUAUUUUGAGCAUCGAGUGUUAUCUCCAGAUUAUUUACAAGGUCAGGAGAAAAAGAUAUGCAUGGACAAUAAAGGAGUGGAUGUUGCAGAAGGACAAGGUGCUAUGGUCACUCCUAAUGACAAAACGAAGAACCCCACUAAUCAAUUCCCCCAAAACAAGCUAACGCCUGUCAACACCAUGGACAAUCCAAAGGCUCCUAUUAAUCCAAUAUCUCUUACUAAUCCAACACCUCCAACUAAGCUAGAAUCUCUCACUAAUCCAAAACCUCCAAGUCAGUCGAAGCCUCUUGCCAAUCCAAAUCCUCAAUCUCAGGCAAAGCCUCCUACUAAUCCAAAGCCAAAGCCUCCUACUAAGUCUAAUCUCCCUAAAAGUGUGUCAAUACCCACCCCAAAGAAGGUAAUUGGUGCAACUGCAACACCCAAAUCCACACCAAAGUUUAUUGAAACAUCCAAAUUCACCCUCAAGAAGAAAACGACAACAACCACCCAUAAUUUUAGGUCUUGUAUGAGGAGUGUUGCUAAGGAAAAAGCAGUGAUGAAAGCACGACAUGAGAGAGGUUAUUAAUUAUCCUCUGAUUCAUAGGAUAGUGCCAAAGAUAGUUUGUAUAAGCCAGGGAUCGAAGAUAGUUCUUCUGAUGAUGAUGAUUAUGCUAAUGAUGUUUGUGAGACUAAGAUUGUCAAAAAAGACAUCAGAUUUAAACAUGCUCCUGUCGUUGCAUUUGCUACGGAUAAAGACCAAGUUACUAUUGAGGAUGAUGCAUUUGUUGAGGAGGUCUCGGAUGGGGAUGUAGACCUAUUCUUUGUGGGAGAAUAGGGGAUGAUGCAUAUGAUUCAGGGGGCUGACUCAAACGUGGCAAAUUUGUAGCAUUUUGAAGAAAUGAAGACUCUUCCAAAUUCUGAGGAUGAGAGGUCAGAUGAGGAGUAUGAAGAUGUUUCUCCAAUGUUUAGAGAAGGUAUAAGGUUUGGAGAACUGCAAUUGGACGUUGGCAUGAAAUUCAACACAAAAUGGGACUUUAAAGAGGCUAUCAGGGAGUUCACAAUUCAAGAGGGCAGAUGAAUUAAGUUUACGAAGAAUGACAAUAUGAGGAUGAGGGCUACUUGUAAAGUGAAAGGAUGCCCAUGGGUGGUGUAUGCAUUAAGGGAUCAUGAAGACACUUGUUAGUAAAUAAUGCCCUCGUUAAUGAUCAUACGUGUCCAAGAAAAGAUAAGAACAGGGCAGCCAACAGAAAUUGGGUAGCGAGCAAACUAGUUAAGAAGGUUAGGAAGUACCCAAAUUUUAGGCAU